rnacentral:rRNA from 1 species
GACGAACGCUGGCGGCGUGCCUAAUACAUGCAAGUCGAACGGACAGACGCUGCUCUUGCGGCGCGCUCGUGUGGCGAAGGGGGGAGUGUCACGCGAGUAACACCCCCCUGUCUUUGUGAGAACAUCACGAAAAUGGGGCUCAUAUCGGGUAGGAUAUCCUGCUGCACGGUGGGGGUUGGUAAGAGUCGGCGGUUGGGGAUCGACUCGCGGCUUAUGCGCUUGUUGGUGGAGUAGUGGCUUACCAAGGCUUUGACGGGUAGCCGGCCUGGGAGGGUGACCGGCCACAAUGGGACUGAGAUACGGACCAGACUCCUACGGGACGCAGCAGUGGGGAAUAUUGCGCAGUGGGCGGAAGCCUGAUGCAGCAGCGCCGCGUGCGGGAUGCCGGCCUUCGGGUUAUAAACCACUUUCGCCUGUGACGAAGCGUGAGUGACGGUAAUGGGUAAAGAAGCACCGGCUAACUACGUG